UUUUAGCCCCGAUUGAAGUGAAAAUCCUUUUCCUUUUUAUUUUAAAAAAGGAAAAGAUUGCAACGAAAAGCGGGACAAAUU
rnacentral:sRNA from 1 species